rnacentral:pre_miRNA from 1 species
GGGGGGAGCGCAGGAUCCUGGGCUGUGUCCCGGGCACCCUGAGCUCCAGGGCCUGCGCCCCUGGAAUUGUGCUCCCGGGCAGCGCAGCCCCCU